UCGGAGGAAGUACUCUAUUCGACUAGACGAACAACCCUGCGGUGGCUGAUUUUGUUUUUAACGGCCAAAUUUUCAGAUCUGAGAUGCAGAUAUCUCUCCUGAGGAUCCACAGGUGGGGCAGGGAGAACUUCAGGACACUCUUGGAGCGGCCUAGUGGAGCUUGACAUUUUUUUUAUUAUUGUGUUUCUUUUUGGAUUUUGGGAUUUGUUUUAGUAAUUAUGACUCAUGGGCUUGUUAUGAAGCUUUAUUUUGAUUAAGUUGUUAAUUGUGAACUUUAUUUUGGACUAUAAUGAAUAUUUAUUUAAUCUUGUUGUUUUGAGUA